ensembl:misc_RNA Metazoa_SRP Metazoan signal recognition particle RNA
GCUGGGCAUGGUGGCGCAUGCCUGUAAUCCCAGCUACUCAGGAAGCUGAGGUGGGAGGAUCGCUUGAGCCUGGGAGGUGGAGGUUGCAGUGAACAGAGAUCGUGCCACUGCACUCCAGCCUGGGUGACAGAGUGAGACUUCAUCUCAA